UACGGGGGGAGCAAGCGUUGUUCGGAUUUACUGGGCGUAAAGGGCGCGUAGGCGGUCAGCACAAGUCAGUUGUGAAAUCUCCGGGCUUAACUCGGAAAGGUCAACUGAUACUGUGCGACUAGAGUGCAGAAGGGGCAACUGGAAUUCGUCGGUGUAGCGGUGAAAUGCGUAGAUAUCGAGAGGAACACCUGCGGCGAAGGCGGGUUGCUGGGCUGACACUGACGCUGAUGCGCGAAAGCCAGGGGAGCAAACGGG
rnacentral:rRNA from 1 species